rnacentral:lncRNA from 1 species
GUAUUUCUUUUUUUGAAAAAAAAAUUGAGUCGAUGGUCGAUCGGCUAGCCCCUACAGUUGACCCCAAUGGCACACUAUAUGUGCCACAGUGGUUGACCGUACAUACUAUCUUUGGCCCGAUCGAUCGACUUGGUGGGCUAUGAUCGAUCAAAAUUCACAGGCAAUCGACUGCAGACAAAAGCAGACAGAUUUUUUGAUCGACCGGUCUAAAUGAUCUGAUUCGAUCGAUACAUUCAAUGGAUUGUAGUCGGUCAAAAUUUUCAGAUGAUCGAUCGUAAUGGCAUAGUUUGUGUCGUAAUGGCAUGGUUUAUGUUCUACAGUAGUUGAUCGGUGCGAGGUUUCGGACUCGGCGGAUCGGUUUGGUGGGUAUGAGUACGGAGAGUAUAGUCAGGAAUGGUGUUUGUUGUUACAUGGACAAAGUUUGUUUCAUGUGGUUCGUUGUAUCCCUCUUUCUACCAUCUGCUCAAUUGUCCCAUCUCACUGUCCAAGAAUACUGACAGCAAGACAUUAUGUAGUUUUGGUGAUAACAGUUAAACAAAAUUUAUUUUUUGAAAUCAUAUUGUGUACAGUCGUAUGCGUACACGUUUCAAAUAACAAG